rnacentral:tRNA from 1 species
GCGGAAGUAGUUCAGUGGUAGAAUACAACCUUGCCAAGGUUGGGGUCACGGGUUCGAAUCCCGUCUUCCGCUCCA